rnacentral:rRNA from 1 species
UGGGGAAUAUUGCACAAUGGGGGAAACCCUGAUGCAGCAACGCCGCGUGAAGGAAGACGGUUUUCGGAUUGUAAACUUCUUUUCUUAGUGAAGAAGCAAGUGACGGUAGCUAAGGAAUAAGCAUCGGCUAACUACGUGCCAGCAGCCGCGGUAAUACGUAGGGAGCGAGCGUUAUCCGGAUUUAUUGGGCGUAAAGCGCGCGUAGGCGGGCUAUUAAGUCAGGUGUUAAAGCCCGGGGCUCAACCCCGGCCCGCACCUGAAACUGGUAGUCUUGAGUCUGGUAGGGGAAAGUGGAAUUCCCAGUGUAGCGGUGAAUGCGCAGAUAUUGGGAAGAACACCAGUGGCGAAGGCGGCUUUCUAGGCCACGACUGACGCUGAGGCGCGAAAGCUAGGGGAGCAAACAGGAUUAGAUACC